AGCAGCCGCGGUAAUUCCAGCUCCAAUAGCGUAUAUUAAAGUUGUUGCAGUUAAAAAGCUCGUAGUUGAAUUUCGGGGUCAGCAGGUUGGUCGUGCCUCUGGUACGUACUGGUUUCGCUGAUUCCUCCUUUCUGAAGAACUGUAAUGUCAUUAAUUUGGUGUUGCAGGGAAACAGGACUGUUACUUUGAAAAAAUUAGAGUGUUUAAAGCAAGCUAACGCUUGAAUACAUUAGCAUGGAAUAAUGAAAUAGGACGUUUGAUCCUAUUUUGUUGGUUUCUAGGAUUGACGUAAUGAUUAAUAGGGAUAGUUGGGGGCAUUAGUAUUCAAUUGUCAGAGGUGAAAUUCUUGGAUUUAUUGAAGACUAACUACUGCGAAAGCAUUUGCCAAGGAUGUUUUCAUUAAUCAAGAACGAAAGUUAGGGGAUCGAAGACGAUCAGAUACCGUCGUAGUCUUAACCAUAAACUAUGCCGACUAGGGAUCGGGUGAUGUUAAUUUUUUAAUGACUCA
rnacentral:rRNA from 1 species